rnacentral:snRNA from 1 species
AUACUUAUGUGGCAGGGGAGAUACCAUGAUCGUGAAGGUGGGUUUCCCGGGGGGAGGCUUAGCCAUUGCACUCUGGAUGUGCUGACCCCUGCAAUUUCCCCAAAUGUAGGAAACUCGACUGCAUAAUUUGUGGCACUGGGGGACUGUGUUUUAGCUUUCCCCUG